rnacentral:ncRNA from 1 species
AAAGUUCAUCAAGAGUGAGAUUAAGUUCUCCUCCAACCUGCCAACUCCGGCAAGGUGGAAAAAAUGAUGUGGUUAAUCAACAAAUAAUGGAGAUGCA